GAAAUAAAAAAAAUUAAGCUUCUAACUUAAUAAUAAGUGUAAUAACAUUAAUAUUUCU
rnacentral:tRNA from 1 species